GAUGAACGCUGGCGGCGUGCCUAAUACAUGCAAGUCGAGCGAACAGACGAGGAGCUUGCUCCUCUGACGUUAGCGGCGGACGGGUGAGUAACACGUGGAUAACCUACCUAUAAGACUGGGAUAACUUCGGGAAACCGGAGCUAAUACCGGAUAAUAUAUUGAACCGCAUGGUUCAAUAGUGAAAGACGGUUUUGCUGUCACUUAUAGAUGGAUCCGCGCCGCAUUAGCUAGUUGGUAAGGUAACGGCUUACCAAGGCAACGAUGCGUAGCCGACCUGAGAGGGCGAUCGGCCACACUGGAACUGAGCCACGGUCCAGCCUCCUACGGGAGGCAGCAGUAGGGAAUCUUCCGCAAUGGGCGAAAGCCUGCCGGAGCAACGCCGCGUGAGUGAUGAAGGUCUUCGGAUCGUAAAACUCUGUUAUUAGGGAAGACCAAAUGUGUAAGUAACUAUGCACGUCUUGACGGUACCUAAUCAGAAAGCCACGGCUAACUACGUG
rnacentral:rRNA from 1 species